UACGAAGGGGGCUAGCGUUGCUCGGAAUCACUGGGCGUAAAGGGUGCGUAGGCGGGUCUUUUAAGUCAGGGGUGAAAUCCUGGAGCUCAACUCCAGAACUGCCUUUGAUACUGAAGAUCUUGAGUUCGGGAGAGGUGAGUGGAACUGCGAGUGUAGAGGUGAAAUUCGUAGAUAUUCGGAAGAACACCAGUGGCGAAGGCGGCUCACUGGCUCAUUACUGACGCUCAGGCGCGAUAGCGUGGGGAUCAAACAGG
rnacentral:rRNA from 1 species